rnacentral:rRNA from 1 species
UGCGGAAUUUUAGAUAAUGGAGGGAACUCUGAUCUAGCGACGCCGCGUGCAGGAGGAAGGUCUUCGGAUUGUAAACUGCUGUGGUAAGGGAAAAAUGCUAUGUAGAGUGGAAAGCUACAUAGAGGGAUGGUACCUUACUAGAAAGCCCCGGCUAACUACGUGCCAGCAGCCGCGGUAAUACGUAGGGGGCGAGCGUUACCCGGAAUCACUGGGCGUAAAGGGAGCGUAGGUGGCCUAACAUGUCUACUGUGAAAACCCGGAGCUCAACUCCGGACUUGCAGUUGAGACUGGUAGGCUUGAGGACGGUAGAGGAAGACGGAACUGCCAGUGUAGGGGUAAAAUCCUUAGAUAUUGGCAGGAACGCCGGUGACGAAGGUGGUUUUCUGGGCCGGUUCUGACACUGAUGCUCGAAAGCCAGGGGAGCGAACGG